UACAGAGGUCCCGAGCGUUGUUCGGAUUCACUGGGCGUAAAGGGUGCGCAGGUGGCGCUUCAAGUUUGAUGUGAAAGCUUCGGGCUCAACCCGGAAAUGGCAUUGAAUACUGGAGUGCUUGAGGUUUGGAGGGGGGACUGGAAUUCUCGGUGUAGCAGUGAAAUGCGUAGAUAUCGAGAGGAACACCAGUGGCGAAGGCGAGUCCCUGGACAACACCUGACACUGAGGCACGAAAGCUAGGGGAGCAAACAGGAUUAGAAACCCCCGUAGUCC
rnacentral:rRNA from 1 species